rnacentral:rRNA from 1 species
CCUACGGGUGGCAGCAGUGAGGAAUAUUGGUCAAUGGACGAGAGUCUGAACCAGCCAAGUAGCGUGAAGGAUGACUGCCCUAUGGGUUGUAAACUUCUUUUAUAUGGGAAUAAAACGUUCCACGUGUGGGAUUUUGUAUGUACCAUAUGAAUAAGGAUCGGCUAACUCCGUGCCAGCAGCCGCGGUAAUACGGAGGAUCCGAGCGUUAUCCGGAUUUAUUGGGUUUAAAGGGAGCGUAGGUGGAUUGUUAAGUCAGUUGUGAAAGUUUGCGGCUCAACCGUAGAAUUGCAGUUGAAACUGGCAGUCUUGAGUACAGUAGAGGUGGGCGGAAUUCGUGGUGUAGCGGUGAAAUGCUUAGAUAUCACGAAGAACUCCGAUUGCGAAGGCAGUUCACUGGACUGCAACUGACACUGAGGCUCGAAAGUGUGGGUAUCAAACAGGAUUAGAUACUCCAGUAGUC